rnacentral:rRNA from 1 species
AGAGUUUGAUCCUGGCUCAGGAUGAACGCUAGCGACAGGCUUAACACAUGCAAGUCGAGGGGCAGCGGCGAUGGAGCUUGCUUCAUCCGCCGGCGACCGGCGCACGGGUGAGUAACACGUAUGCAACCUGCCCUCAGCAUGGGGAUAACCCGGAGAAAUCCGGACUAAUACCGCGUGACGCCCCUUGGGGACAUCCCCUCGGGGCCAAAGGAGAGAUCCGGCUGAGGAUGGGCAUGCGGCGCAUUAGCUAGUCGGCGGGGUAACGGCCCACCGAGGCGACGAUGCGUAGGGGUUCUGAGAGGAAGGCCCCCCACACUGGUACUGAGACACGGACCAGACUCCUACGGGAGGCAGCAGUGAGGAAUAUUGGUCAAUGGGCGGAAGCCUGAACCAGCCAAGUCGCGUGAGGGAAGACGGCCCUACGGGUUGUAAACCUCUUUUGUCGGGGAGCAAAUUGGCCACGGGUGGCCAGGCGAGAGUACCCGAAGAAAAAGCAUCGGCUAACUCCGUGCCAGCAGCCGCGGUAAUACGGAGGAUGCGAGCGUUAUCCGGAUUCAUUGGGUUUAAAGGGUGCGUAGGCGGGAUGCUAAGUCAGCGGUAAAAUGUCGGCGCUCAACGCCGGCCGGCCGUUGAAACUGGCGUCCUUGAGUGGGCGAGAAGUAAGCGGAAUGCGCGGUGUAGCGGUGAAAUGCAUAGAUAUCGCGCAGAACGCCGAUUGCGAAGGCAGCUUACCGGCGCCCAACUGACGCUGAAGCACGAAAGCGUGGGUAUCGAACAGGAUUAGAUACCCUGGUAGUCCACGCGGUAAACGAUGAAUGCUAGGUGUCCGGGGGGAACGACCCCUGGGUGCCACAGCGAAAGCGUUAAGCAUUCCACCUGGGGAGUACGCCGGCAACGGUGAAACUCAAAGGAAUUGACGGGGGCUCGCACAAGCGGAGGAACAUGUGGUUUAAUUCGAUGAUACGCGAGGAACCUUACCCGGGCUCAAACGGCGGGGGAACGACCCUUGAAAGAGGGCGGUCCCACGGGACUCCCGCCGAGGUGCUGCAUGGUUGUCGUCAGCUCGUGCCGUGAGGUGUCGGCUUAAGUGCCAUAACGAGCGCAACCCCCACCGCCAGUUGCUAACGGGUCAGGCCGAGGACUCUGGCGGGACUGCCGGCGCAAGCUGCGAGGAAGGCGGGGAUGACGUCAAAUCAGCACGGCCCUUACGUCCGGGGCGACACACGUGUUACAAUGGCGGGUACAGCGGGAAGCCACCCGGCGACGGGGAGCGGAGCCCGAAAGCCCGUCUCAGUUCGGAUCGGAGUCUGCAACCCGACUCCGUGAAGCUGGAUUCGCUAGUAAUCGCGCAUCAGCCACGGCGCGGUGAAUACGUUCCCGGGCCUUGCACACACCGCCCGUCAAG